CAUCCACUCAGAGACAUUUUUACUGGAGAUCCUUGAACAUUUCCCAUGUCUCAAAAAGAGAUUCCAAUUCCAUUUGCAAAAAGGAAGACAUCUCAUUCCUGAGUGA